rnacentral:lncRNA from 1 species
AAGGAGGUGCUGGCGUAGUCCGACUAGCAGCAGCCGCUGCUCCCCGGUGGUUCAGAGCCGCGCGAGCUGAGCGUUUCGCCUACAAAAGCAUCUUCGGAUCGGUUUCCCACCGCCGAAUGUUGCUUGAGCCAAUGUGACUGGCUCUAGGAGGAAAUAAAUCACAUCUGUCAAAAGAGCCUCGAGUCGAAGGAUAGGAGAAACC